CAUGCAAGCCGAGCGGUAGAAGUCCUUCGGGACUUUGAGAGCGGCGUACGGGUGCGUAACACGUGUGCAACCUACCUUUAUCAGGGGAAUAGCCUUUCCAAAGGAAGAUUAAUACCCCAUAAUAUAUUGAAUGGCAUCAUUUAAUAUUGAAAACUCCGGUGGAUAGAGAUGGGCACGCGCAAGAUUANAUAGUUGGUGAGGUAACGGCUCACCAAGUCAAUGAUCUUUAGGGGUCCUGAGAGGGAGAUCCCCCACACUGGUACUGAGACACGGACCAGACUCCUACGGGAGGCAGCAGUGAGGAAUAUUGGACAAUGGGUGAGAGCCUGAUCCAGCCAUCCCGCGUGAAGGAUGACGGUCCUAUGGAUUGUAAACUUCUUUUGUAUAGGGAUAAACCUACUCUCGUGAGAGUAGCUGAAGGUACUAUACGAAUAAGCACCGGCUAACUCCGUGCCAGCAGCCGCGGUAAUACGGAGGGUGCAAGCGUUAUCCGGAGUUAUUGGGUUUAAAGGGUCCGUAGGCGGGCCGAUNANUCAGNGGUGAANUCUCAUAUCUUAACUAUGACACCGCCGCUGANACUGACGGUCUUGAGUAAAUUUGAAAUGGCUGGGAUNAGUAGUGNAGCGGNGAANUGCAUNUAUAUUACNUAGAACACCAGUUGCGAAGGAACGUCACUGAGGCCCGCACAAGCGUUGNUUAUGNNAGUUANUUNGAUGNUACNCGAGGAUCCUUACCAANUCUCAAAAGGGAAAUGACAGGGUUAGAAAUNGGCNUUUANAGGGACAUUUUCCAAGGUGUUGCAUGGUUGUCGUCAGCUCGUNCCGUGAGGUGNUAGGCUAAGUCAUGCAACGAGCGCAACCCCUGUCACUACUUGUUAACAUUUAGUUGAGGACUCUAGUGAGACUCCCUACGCAAGUAGAGAGGAAGGUGGGGANGACGUCAAAUCAUCACGGCCCUUACGUCCUGGGCCACACACGUAAUACAAUGGCCGGUACAGAGGGCAGCUACCUAGCGAUAGGAUGCAAAUCUCGAAAGCCGGUCUCAGUUCGGAUUGGAGUUUGCAACUCGACUCUAUGAAGCUGGAAUCGCUAGUAAUCGCGCAUCAGCCAUGGCGCGGUGAAUACGUUCCCGGGCCUUGUACACACCGCCCGUCAAGCCAUGGAAGUUUGGGGUACCUGAAGUCGGUGACCGUAANAAGGAGCUGCCUAG
rnacentral:rRNA from 1 species